UAUAUAAAGCCUUAGGGCUUAGUUCAAAUCAUCACAGUGUUCUGCAAGUAGCCCACAAGUCAAAAUGAAAUUCUUCGCAUUCGUCGCUCUGCUGUUGUGUGCGGUCAUGGCCUUCGCCAGUGCCGGCGUGGUUCCGCAACUACCUGACGUAGCGAACCCUGAAGCUCCCAGGCUGGUCCGCAGCCCCGGCUACUAUCACAAGAAGGAGGAACAUCAUCAUCAUCACUAUGGCGGCUAUGGAUACGGCUACCACGGAUAAACUAAACUGAACCAAUGAAUUUGUUCUUACAACUUUGUAGUUACCAUUUUCAGUGAUAUGUAGUUUUAUAUAUUAAAAGUAUUGUUUCUAA